GACGAACCGUGCGAACGUUGUUCGGAAUCACUGGGCUUAAAAGGGUGUGUAGGCGGUUUGCCAAGUCAGGGGUGAAAUCUUUCGGCUUAACCGGAAAAUAGCCCCUGAUACUGGCGGGCUAGAGGGCGAUAGAGGCAGCCGGAACUACCGGUGGAGCGGUGAAAUGCGUUGAUAUCGGUAGGAACGCCAGAGGCGCAAGCGGGCUGCUGGAUCUCUUCUGACGCUGAUACACGAAAGCUAGGGUAGCGAACGGG
rnacentral:rRNA from 1 species